rnacentral:rRNA from 1 species
GCCUACGGGACGCAGCAGUGGGGAAUAUUGGGCAAUGGGCGCAAGCCUGACCCAGCAACGCCGCGUGAAGGAAGAAGGCUUUCGGGUUGUAAACUUCUUUUGACAGGGAAGAGCAGAAGACGGUACCUGUCGAAUAAGCCACGGCUAACUACGUGCCAGCAGCCGCGGUAAUACGUAGGUGGCAAGCGUUGUCCGGAUUUACUGGGUGUAAAGGGCGCGUAGGCGGUAAUAUAAGUCAGAUGUGAAAGGGGGGGGCUCAAACCCUAGAGUGCAACUGAUACUGUAUAACUUGAGUGUGAGAGAGG